rnacentral:rRNA from 1 species
UACGGAGGGUGCAAGCGUUGCUCGGAAUCACUGGGCGUAAAGGGUGCGUAGGCGGCUGGGUAAGUCUGGCGUGAAAGCCCAGGGCUCAGCCCUGGAAGUGCGCUAGAAACUGCGCGGCUGGAGUGCCGGAGGGGAGAGUGGAAUUCCUGGUGUAGCGGUGAAAUGCGUAGAUAUCAGGAGGAAUACCGGUGGCGAAAGCGACUCUCUGGACGGCAACUGACGCUGAGGCACGAAAGCGUGGGGAGCAAACAGG